rnacentral:sRNA from 1 species
GAUGUGGCACGAGACAUUGAUACCCACACGCAUAGGAUUGGCCGCACAGGAAGAGCGGGUGAGAAGGGUGUGGCCUAUACCCUACUCACUCCCAAGGACAGCAAUUUUGCUGGUGAUCUGGUCCGGAACUUGGAAGGAGCCAAUCAACAUGUUUCUAAGGAACUCCUAGAUCUGGCAAUGCAGAAUGCCUGGUUUCGGAAAUCUCGAUUCAAAGGAGGGAAAGGAAAAAAGCUGAACAUUGGUGGAGGAGGCCUAGGCUACAGGGAGCGGCCUGGCCUGGGCUCUGAGAACAUGGUGAGUCUAGACUACUACAGUAGUGCCUUUAUAGUUGGUCUCAUGUCCUGAAAGUCAUUAGGAAUAUUCUCAUCUACCCAGGAAAGCCUCAGUGAGUUUAAAGCCCUGUCUAGAAGGGAAUUUGUAUUUAAUCUGAUUUGAGUCAAUGCAGUGCUCAUUCUUAUGGUAACUUUCUAUUGAAGAAGCAUCUUUGUGUACUUGGUUGACUAGGCUUGCUCAGGAAAUUAUUCUAGAUUAGCAGUGAUCUCACACUGUGGUCCCUGGACCAGCAGCACAUGCAAACUCAUCCCCAACCCC